rnacentral:rRNA from 1 species
CCUACGGGAGGCAGCAGUAGGGAAUCUUCCACAAUGGACGAAAGUCUGAUGGAGCAACGCCGCGUGUGUGAUGAAGGGUUUCGGCUCGUAAAACACUGUUAUAAGAGAAGAAUGUCGGUGAGAGUAACUGUUCAUCGAGUGACGGUAUCUUAUCAGAAAGGGACGGCUAAAUACGUGCCAGCAGCCGCGGUAAUACGUAUGUCCCAAGCGUUAUCCGGAUUUAUUGGGCGUAAAGCGAGCGCAGGCGGUUAUUUAAGUCU